UUAUUUCAUUUCCCCCUCAGUCUUUGGUAAAUAUGUAUGUAUUUACAUUCGCGAUUCAUAUUGGUAACCCCGGAUUGACGCAUCCUCCGUCCGCGGGGCGCGAAGCAGACUUGCGCGGGGUUUUCCUCAGCGCGGUCGCGGUAGGAUCUCACACAUUCCCCGGCGCUUUAGCAUAGCGGCUGUGGGCCGAAAAUUAAUAAUUAGAAACAGUUGGAAUUCACGAGAACUUCGUGUUCAUCAGCGCACUUGGUCGUGAUUAUUUUAUGGCGUAAAUCACAUUUGUACAGGCAGACAGCCAUCUGUUAACACGGGCCGAAACGAAAAAGCCUCGCGACGCGAUCAGGCCGCUCACGGAGGAUGUGUCACGCAAAAUGGUGCUGCUUCAUGCUGUUAACGUAACCAAUGUGAUGUAUUUGUGGACAUUUGCUAACUUAAGGUAAUGCAAACACUUUAACAUCUCUGUUUGAUUUCAGUUUGCCUUGUAUAGUUAAUGUAUUAACGUACCAUUACGAAAACAAAUCUUUUUUAACUUGAAAUGAAAUGUGCUAUUUACAGAUAUGAACAAACUGAUCAUCCUGUACUUGUCUUUUAGAUGUACAUUUUAUAUCUAUUGAGGCCUUUAACACAACUACAAACUAUUUGUUUCUCAACUAGAUUAGACAUUUAUUUUUUAGGGUGAAUGUUUUAGAUGUCUCUCUAUUUGACCCUGGCAAACAAAUUAGUUAAAUAAGGUGUUGAUUAGUGGGACAUCUAAAACUUUCUGGGAGGUAAGUAUUCAGGACUGGAGUUGUAGGCUAAUACUGCUCUACCACAUGGUAUAAUUUCAUAAACAUGAUUACAUGCCUCAAAAGCUAAAACCAAUCUGAAUUCCUGACCCUUUAUGCACUUUGUAGGUAUUUAUCUGGAGAGAGGAACAAAGACGAAAGGAAAAGUGCCAUCUAAAACAACAGGCAGACAGUUCAGAAGAAACGGGUUGCGUUCAACCUACAUGUGGCCACUCUUCUGUGCAAAGUGAUGGAUUUUCAGUGGAAUUUCUGAAAUCCUCUCUUUGAAUCCUGGGAUGGAACAUCAUCUGGAGCAGAAUUGUUCUUUUUUGAUCGCAAGUUUGUUGGACUUGUUGUUUGGCCAUGUUGGUAUGUUCAUGAAGUGAUAAAAGUGAUGUGGGUUUUAAGAAAUGUUUUUAUAUGACCCUGUUGGUCAAGUUAUAGUUAUAAUUGUAUUUCUUUGUGUGAAGGGCCAUGAUGGCCAAUAAGUAAUUUAAAAACAUUUUCAUGACAAAAUUUUGUCCCUUUAAAAAAUAAAAUGAUUUUCUAAAUAAAAAAUAAAUUCAAAAUAA